CCUACGGGAGGCUGCAGUGGGGAAUAUUGGACAAUGGGGGGAACCCUGAUCCAGCCAUGCCGCGUGUGUGAAGAAGGCCCUCGGGUUGUAAAGCACUUUCAGUGAGGAAGAACGCCUGGUGGUGAAUACCCAUCAGGAAAGACAUCACUCACAGAAGAAGCACCGGCUAACUCCGUGCCAGCAGCCGCGGUAAUACGGAGGGUGCGAGCGUUAAUCGGAAUUACUGGGCGUAAAGCGCGCGUAGGUGGCUUGAUAAGCCGGUUGUGAAAGCCCCGGGCUCAACCUGGGAACGGCAUCCGGAACUGUCAAGCUAGAGUGCAGGAGAGGAAGGUAGAAUUCCCGGUGUAGCGGUGAAAUGCGUAGAGAUCGGGAGGAAUACCAGUGGCGAAGGCGGCCUUCUGGACUGACACUGACACUGAGGUGCGAAAGCGUGGGUAGCAAACAGGAUUAGAUACCCCGGUAGUC
rnacentral:rRNA from 1 species